UACAGAGGUCUCAAGCGUUGUUCGGAUUCAUUGGGCGUAAAGGGUGCGUAGGCGGCGCGGUAAGUCGGGUGUGAAAUCUCGGGGCUUAACUCCGAAACUGCAUUCGAUACUGCCGUGCUUGAGGACUGGAGAGGAGAUUGGAAUUCCCGGUGUAGCGGUGAAAUGUGUAGAGAUCGGGAGGAACACCGGUGGCGAAGGCGGGUCUCUGGGCAUCUCCUGACGCUGAGGCGCGAAAGCGUGGGGAGCAAACGGG
rnacentral:rRNA from 1 species